GAGCGCAGCCGGAGGUAGGCCGGAGCCGGACUCCCAGGCUCCUGGCUUGGGAAGGCUGAGGGGGUAGUGACAGGUGUCUAGGGGUCUGACUGACCGAGGUGGCAGCGAGGAGAAGCUGUCCCGGAUGCCCGGAGUCGCCCCGGGUCGAAGCCAGCCAGGUUCACCCCUGUUGAGCCCCUGCCAGCCAAUGUAGCCUCUGGGGGACCUCCUGGGGGAGGAGCAGUAGCGGACCUGGUCCUCAGUGUCCCCAAGGGGCCUCCCAAUUGGCUCCCCUCCCCUGCCACAGAGAAUUCAGGCCGGCCUCGAUCGCUUCCCAGAACGAUUGCACCACUGUCGCUGCCGCCGGCCUGGCACUGCCUCAGCCUCACAGUGCUGGCAGCUUUGGGAGAAGAACCCUGUGCCAGUCCCACAGACCAGAGAGCUUUGCCGACCCCUCCUCCAUGGCCAUUAGUCUCCAGCCAGAGGCCGUGCAGAACCCAGGCCCGCCAGGCCAGGGGCCUGGAGCCUGGAGCUUGGAGCCUGCCGGGAGAACAAGAGGAGGACCCUGGCACCCCCUCCGGAGUGAAUUUAUGGACUGGCCCCAGGCCCAGAGCUGAAUAGAUGAGAAUAUUUUGUCUGCUGGGCUGGAGUGGGAAUGGUUGAAGGAUGCCAUUUGCCCUGGCAGGCCCGGCUGGGCAUGGAGCUGGCCUCCCUGCCCAACCCCCUUCCUUCACUUAACACCAUUAACUAAUCAUUCGCCUCUCUGGCCUGAAAACAAAGCCAGCUAACCACCAAG